ACUGUGGAACAAGAGGAAUAAUUUUUUGCCAGUGCUUUGUUCCAUCAUAUCUGGACCCUCAUUCCUUCUCUUUGGUGCAGAUCCUUGCCAUCAUCACCUCUUCUAAAGACCUGCUCUGGUGCAUCAAAUGGAGGUGGUGUCGAAGUUUGAGAGUCGCGCACUUCAUGGGUGCUCUAGACCUGACCGUAAAGGUGUCAAAUGUUUCCCCUAAGACAAGUCGAGCGGAUCUUAUUUUCUUCUUCUCGUACUGUGGUACUGUCGAUGAAAUCCAGCUGCAGAGAGAUGGAGAUCAGUCCCAAACGGCUCUUGUGACCUUUCGGCAGCCAUAUGCCUUUGAAACUGCUCUUCUAUUGAGUGGAGCAUCCAUACUGGAUCGCUCUGUUCUCAUAUUGCCUGCGGGGAACUGGAAAGACAUACCAGUAGAUUGAUGCUUCAGUAUCUUACAUGGAGGAGCUCUUCUGCAUUGGAUUUCUGAGGCACUCCAGAGGAAACAUUAGUGAUGCUUCGAUUUGGAUGGAUUAGUAGAUUAAUAUCAGAGUCUGUAAACCGCUUGCUUUGAACAAUCAGCUCAAUUCUAAAUUA